UUGUUUUCACCAGAGCAGCUGCCAAGGCCUCGAGUUAAAGUGGAUUCCAUCAUCUAUGAGAAUGGGAUCUGUAAUGCCACCUUGAGGUGUUCUGUGGAGGAAGGAGGAGAGGACAUCACAUAUGGGUGAACACCAGUGAGACCAGGGGCUGUUGUGUCCCAGGUGGCAUCUGUCCUCAGUGACUCCUGGAGCCUUCAUAAUCUGGAUCAAACCUAUACCUGCACAGUUCUGAAUCCUGUUAGCAAUAGAAGCUCUACUCUCAUCCUUCCUGGGCAGCUUUGUGCAGGUUCCAAGGCAGCUGAAGGCGCCUAUUGCCCAGUGAAAUGGAUUUUCCUGGGGAAGAGGUUUCUUCUCCUUGUGUUUCUUGGGGUUCUAGGAACUUGGCAUAUCCAGACACAGAUGAGGUCUCAC